rnacentral:rRNA from 1 species
GACGAACGCUGGCGGCGUGCUUAACACAUGCAAGUCUAGGAGAAGUUUUGCUUCGGUGAAAUGGAUACUGGCGAACGGGUGAGUAACGCGUAUGCAAUCUGCCCUUAAUCCGGGGAUAACACUUCCAACGAGGUGCUAAUACCCGAUGACGCAGCGGCACCGCAUGGUGACAGUUGUUAAAGUUUCGAUGAUUAAGGAUGAGCAUGCGUCCCAUUAGGUAGUUGGUGAGGUAACGGCCCACCAAGCCUGCGAUGGGUAGCUGGUCUGAGAGGAUGAUCAGCCACACUGGGACUGAGACACGGCCCAGACUCCUACGGGAGGCAGCAGUGAGGAAUAUUGCGCAAUGGACGAAAGUCUGACGCAGCAACGCCGCGUGCGGGAUGAAGGCUCUUUGAGUCGUAAACCGCUGUAGCAGGGGAAAAAUAUCCCGUUCGACGGG